GCCGCGCACUGUCGAUUGUGCCAUUGAUGCCACUGUAGCUAGUGUCACAUAUGCCAUCACCUGCAUAGGCACCAUAAGUAUAAUAGACACUGAGCAACACUAUGUCAAUUGAAGGUUGAUGUUUUGCAACCUACAUGAUAAGCGCACAGUCUAGUCAAGCAGGAACUCUCGCAUGCUAGAAUAUCAUCUUAUUGAUCACCUCUACUUCCAUUUGUAGAGAGCAUACUGGAAUGUAAGUAGAAUUAUCGAGGAAUUAUGAAUAUUUUAUAGUAUGGGUACAA
rnacentral:lncRNA from 1 species